GCACAGGUGGAGGAACUGGUAGACUCGCACCUUUGAGGGGGGUGUGCCGCAAGGCGUGGGGGUUCAAAUCCCCCCCUGUGCA
rnacentral:tRNA from 1 species